GACGAACGCUGGCGGCGUGCUUAACACAUGCAAGUCGAACGGAAAGGUCCUGUUUUCGUGGGAUGCCCGAUUGGCGAACGCGCGAGUAACACGUGAGCAACCUGCCCUUGACUUCGGGUUAACUUCAGGAAACUGGGGCGAAUAUUGGAUAGGAGCUCCUGCUGCAUGGUGGGGGUUGGAAAGUUUCGGCGGUUGGGGAUGGACUCGCGGCUUAUCUGCCUGUUGGUGGUGUAGUGGCUAACUAAGGGUUUGACGGGCAGUCGGCCUGAGAGGGUGACCGGCCACAUUGGGACUGAGAUACGGCCCAGAGUCCUACGGGAGGCAGCAGUGGGGAAUAUUGCACAAUGGGCGGAAGCCUGAUGCAGCAACGCCGCGUGCGGGAUGACGGCCUUCGGGUUGUAAACCGUUUUCGCCUGUGACGAAGCGUGAGUGACGGUAAUGGAUAAAGAAGCACCGGCUAACUACGUG
rnacentral:rRNA from 1 species